rnacentral:rRNA from 1 species
UACGUAGGGUGCGAGCGUUGUCCGGAAUUAUUGGGCGUAAAGGGCUCGUAGGCGGUUUGUCGCGUCGGGAGUGAAAACACCGGGCUUAACUCGGUGCUUGCUUUCGAUACGGGCAGACUAGAGGUAUGCAGGGGAGAACGGAAUUCCUGGUGUAGCGGUGAAAUGCGCAGAUAUCAGGAGGAACACCGGUGGCGAAGGCGGUCUCUGGGCAUUUACCUGACGCUGAGGAGCGAAAGUGUGGGAGCGAACAGG